UUAAAUAUUUUAACUGAUUUGAGAAGAAAAGGUUCUUAUCACCUGCAAAUCAUGUACAAAUACUAUUUAUGUCUUCAUUUAUGACA